rnacentral:lncRNA from 1 species
AGAUAAUUCAGCGAAUCAGUUAGGUAGGGGCUUACUUAAAAAAUGUAAGAGUCUGAAAUUUCAGGGUUGAAUAAAUGUUUUCAUCAAUAGUCCAGGGGGGUGGGUACGCCUGGCUGUUUGUGCGUGCCUUCAGAACUCAGCAGACAUCCUGUAUGCCAAAGGUCUGCUCUUAUCUGCUGCCUCUCCCAGGGCCGCACCCAGAAAUGUUUUCUGGGUCGGGGCCGCCUGACAGACCUGUGAUAGGCCCGGGUGUGGAGGAGGCUGAAAUUCCUAGGAAGAGCCCAGCUGCGAGCCAAGGCUGGAGGAGUCAGGACCAGCUGGACAAGGAAACAGAGAAGCAGAACAAAUUUGAUUUUACUGACAGCUGCCACACCACGUCCGGGCACCCCAUCAAGAGGUGAAGUGCAAUCGGGGCAGGCUGUGACUCAUUUAAACAUAUAGAACGUGGCUAAGGCGGUCCAGCUUCUACCAUGCUGGCUGGGACGCUUGCCUUUGGAGCCUUGAGUCAUCCUGUAAGAUGGAAAGCUGCCCUGAGGCCAUCACGCUGACAGAAACCUCAGGCCACGCGGAGAGCUCGUGUUCAGGGUUUGGCUCACAGGAGGGUUGAAGACAUGAAUUGUUCCGGGCGGAGCUCAGAGCCAAGGUGGCCAACCGUCUGGGACUUUCAGUGCUAAAAACAGAAAAGUCCUAGGUGAACCGAGACAAGCUGGUGAGCCUACCGAACGAUAGCGGAUCAAGAGAAACUUACUCUCAAAACGAGCACAUGUGGCCACGUCCGUGUGAAUCAACGACCAACUGUGGAACUGGGAGUUCUCUGAAUUAAUUUAGGUGCAGAAUACAACGUUUAUGAAAGGACCAGUAAUGAAAAUGUGAAGUUCACAUAUAUGUUAUUAAAACACAAUCAUCACCACAGCAAUUGUUAGAACAAAGGAAUCUUUUUCGGGAAGGAGUAUUUUAU